UACAGAGGUCUCAAGCGUUGUUCGGAUUCAUUGGGCGUAAAGGGUGCGUAGGCGGCGCGGUAAGUCGGGUGUGAAAUCUCGGAGCUUAACUCCGAAACUGCAUUCGAUACUGCGGUGCUUGAGGACUGGAGAGGAGACUGGAAUUUACGGUGUAGCAGUGAAAAUGCGUAGAGAUCGUAAAGGAAGACCAGUGGCGAAGGCGGGUCUCUGG
rnacentral:rRNA from 1 species